ACCAGCUCGGCUAAGCUAUCCUCGGUUUAUAAUAAGAAGAAAAGGCAUCCCAUCUUUCUUAGGCUUCAUUGGUUUCCUUCCCAUUUUUCUUUUUCUUUUGUACUCCCGGAGUAGAGAGAAUGGCUGAAGGUUGGUUGAAUCGUAUACAGGGCCUCCUUGUUAUUUUGGAUUUGUGACUGCCUUCUCCAAAAACCCCCAGGCCCUCUGGUACAAGAUACUGCAAUCCUCAACGCUUUUAUAUCUGUCCUGAAGGAUAUUUGAAUUGGGAUUUAGAGCGAGGAUCAUGGGACCUCACCCUCCCCACCACCACCACCAUCACCAUGGAGGCCAUAGCCCAUAUGAUGAUCCCUUUAUGGCCUGCCUUUGCUGCCCUUGCUUUCUGGUUUCUUCUAUUAUUAGAGGGUUCGGGAGAUGCAUCUAUGCUGCCAGCUACCCCUUCUUGCGAUGCUUAGGAUUGGAGGAGUACGGACAUCACCAUCACCACCACCAUCACGGCCAUUUCCGUUGAUUUGAUUCCUCUGGCAAGCCAUCCUUGAACAUGAUUAUAAUGUUUUGGUGCUUUCUUAAAAUUUGUGCUAAUUCGUGGGCUAAUGGGAAAUGGUUGGUGUGACAAUGUUCUCUAAGCUUGUACCCAGAAGACUUUUGUUGCAACGUGAACUUUAAGCACUUUGUGUUAGUUCUUCAAGUGUACAUUUGAGUCGCUUGGGUUUGAACAUGAUCCCGUUAGCUCCUGAAAGAUAAAUUCGGCACUCAAUUUGUCUUCCAGUCUA